ACGGGAGGCAGCAGUAGGGAAUAUUGCACAAUGGGGGAAACCCUGAUGCAGCGACGCCGCGUGAAGGAAGAAGUAUCUCGGUAUGUAAACUUCUAUCAGCAGGGAAGAAAAUGACGGUACUUGACUAAGAAGCCCCGGCUAACUACGUGCCAGCAGCCGCGGUAAUACGUAGGGGGCAAGCGUUAUCCGGAUUUACUGGGUUUAAAGGGUGCGUAGGCGGACGCGUAAGUCAGCGGUGAAAUAUCCCGGCUCAACCGGGAGGCUGCCGUUGAUACUGCGCGACUGGAGUCCGAACGGCGCUGGCGGAAUAUGUAAUGUAGCGGUGAAAUGCAUAGAUAUUACAUAGAACACCGAUCGCGAAGGCAGCUGGCGAGGACGGCACUGACGCUGAGGCACGAAGGCGUGGGGAUCAAACAGGAUUAGAUACCCUGGUA
rnacentral:rRNA from 1 species